AGAGUUGGUGGCUAGGGUUCCGGCGUCGCAAGACGUGGCUGGUCCGAGAGCUGCCACCGGCAGGGGAGACAUCCUGCCGGGUGCACGGCGGGACAAAAGCCCGGGAGAC
rnacentral:sRNA from 2 species